rnacentral:ncRNA from 1 species
AACCGCCGUGUACGGAACCGUACGCACGGUGGUGUGAGAGGUCGGCUAAUCAACAAUGGUUAGCCUCCUACUCGAU